rnacentral:rRNA from 1 species
UACGAAGGGUGCAAGCGUUAAUCGGAAUUACUGGGCGUAAAGCGUGCGUAGGCGGUUGCUUAAGUCAGAUGUGAAAGCCCUGGGCUCAACCUGGGAAUGGCAUUUGAAACUGGGCAGCUAGAGUGUGAUAGAGGAUGGCGGAAUUCCCGGUGUGGCGGUGAAAUGCGUAGAGAUCGGGAGGAACAUCCGUGGCGAAGGCGGCCAUCUGGAUCAACACUGACGCUGAGGCACGAAAGCGUGGGGAGCAAACAGG